ACAAGGAUUUCCACUUGGCUGGGUUCUAGGAAAAAGAAAGAAGGUGAACAUUUCCCCAGUAAAACAGAUGCAUGGUUGUCAGCACUACAGGAAAGGUCUCAAGCCUGUUUUAGCUUUAGGCCGUGUGUGCUGUCUGUGUUAAGACUUGGCAGCUCUCUGUGCAUCUCAGUGCUUGGGCUUGUUUAGUUUUACAUGCAGUAAUUGUCACAUGUCGGCCAAACGCAGCACUGAGUUGGCCAAACAGCCUGGGAUUUCAACACCGUUUCCAGUUUCUCCUUCAGUGGGAAGCAGAGGUGCUAGAAGUACAAGGUUUGACCCCCACGCGCACUGGGUGUGCAGCCAACACUAACCAGGACCUGACUUUCUGUGGUCAGGUGGUUGUUUUGGUAGCUGUUAAAUCCUUGUGUGAGCGCCUUAAUGAGACACAAACUCAGUCUGACAGGCCAGCUCAGGAGCUCCUUUUAUUCUGGCUGUGAAAGUAAGACAUUUGUGGGACCACUUGAAAAAGCUGCAGCCCAGAUUGCCAGCUUUUAAAGUCCUUUACUUUGCUCCAGUUGCAUUAUCUGAUCUCUUGCCUCUGGCAUUUUCUCCAAAACCACUUGUUUCUCAGUAGCAGAAGUACCUUGCCCAACUGGGAUGCAAUAAUUUCAAAGCAAGUAAAGGAAACUGCAGCUGCUCAGCUGAGUCAGCCAAAGCAGCUUCGUGUUCAUUUUCUGAGGGGAUUGAUCGAGUGGGUCCAUUGCCGUGAGUUUCCAGGUCACACCCAACAGCUGCCCAGUAUGGGGCCACACAACAGGGAAAGGUCAGAAGCUGUUUGCUCUCUUCAGAGGAGCGGGACAGAGAAUUCCUCAGUUUGCCAUCACAUCAAGGCAGAUCUGCAACAGGGAUCCUGCACUUCUGCAUAGGAUUUCCAUUCCUCUCGGACCAGCAAGAGCACAAACAGUGCAGGUGCAGCGUCUGAGGGAUCAGCACGUUAGCUUGUGGCCCAGCACAAGGGCUCCCUGUCAAAUGAACGUGAAAAAGAGCAGGCGAAGAAAUUGAGAAUAUGGAAGAUAGCUUGUAGAUAAGAAAAAGAAGGCUCAGAGAUGAGGAAAGGUAAAGCUACCCAGCUCCACAGCUGCCCCCAUUUUCGCUGCUUUCGCAGACGUGGGAUUAGUACUGGAAAUAGAAACCAGGGAUGUUCACGUUGCCAGUGAAGCUCCGUUGCCUGCAGAUGGCAGCUCGAAUUCUGAUCUGGCCUAGUAGCACCACGAAGUUUUCCUCCUUUGAACAGAGGACAGCCGGCACCACUGAUGGACGUGGUUCUAUCUGGACCAUCGCUCCAUACAGUCCCUCCGUGGCCUGACUUGGAUUUAGACAUGCAUGCUAUGUCCUUGCCCAAAGAUUCAUCACCUUCCAAGCAUGCAGCUCUCCUCAGCCUGGCUCAGUGGCGGCGAGGGAUGCUGCCCAGGAACUUCCUGCUCAGAGCGAGGUAAGUUCAGUGGGACAGCGAGGAGCGUUUCAUCAUCAUCCUGAUUCCUGCUGGAAACACGGGAUUAGUUUAACUCGGGAAAGCAGGCUUUGAAAUUGUGAGGCACUGGAGGGUCCCUUCAGGAGCCCUAUGGUCCCACUGUCCUUGCUGCUGGAAGCUGGGGCAGAGGCAGUGGCUGUCCUGCCAGUGCCGAGCACGGGAGUCUGAGCUGGGGUGCCAGGAAAGAGGUUUCCUGAGCUGCACCAGCCACGGCAACGUCACCUCCGCUGUCCUGCGCUCAGUGCUUCCAAAGGGAUCCCAGAACGCAGAGAAAGGAAAAGAGUGAGCCUUCGGCACCACACUGGUGGUGCUCCGGUGGCCCCUGAAGCCUGAUUCUCUGCAUGCAUGUCCCUCGGCCCAGGGCUGCCUGAUGCCAUGUGAGGGCACGAGUCCCGAGGGGUAAUGCAGUUAUCAGACUCCCCCCACUAACGACUAGUCAAGUGGCUCCUGUCUUGGUCAUGGUGUCACUGCUCCUGGGAAGGAGAGAAGGAUGAGGCAACCCAAGGCAGCCGUCAGUCCCGACACUGACCUUCCAAUGCCCAUCCCAACAGCACCAAUGCUCCUUGUGGGCCGAUGACACAUUGCUAAUACAGCAGAGACAGUUGAUUGGUGAUGUACCGACAGGUACCAGUCACUGGGAUCGUCUCUGACAGCUCUGGAAGCGCUGACACACAGCUGUCCGGAGCAGGGAGUGAGUAAAUAAAUGAUAGCAGAUGCCUUAAAAAGAGCUCUGCCAUGGGAAUUCAGAGCCAAAUCCCAUGUUUAGCACGGGCUGUGAACACAGAAGCGCUCUGUUUAAAAAAAAAAUGAAAUUAAAAGCUAUUAUAGAAACCACAGCACUUGGAAAUCAGAUGUACCUUACUAAUUUGUGCCAAAGCUGCUGACUUGGACUGGCAGUGUGAACACCAACACCUGCCAAGAUCCUGUGUGGAGCAGCCCAGAACCCACAAGGUCACCAUCCUAUGGGGAUUGCCAGGGCAAUGGACAGGCCUGAAAAGGAUGCACUAAUGAAGAACUGUUCUGGUUUGUUAACGAUGAGUUCUGAUUUUCAAGGAAAAUGAUGAGAAAAUCCAAAGUAAGGCCCAUCUUAUGUGGCCAUCUGAUUUUCCAUCCCACAGAAUGCUCCCAAUCUCUGACCUGCUGCUUCCUAUUUCACAGGCAUUAACACAGAGAUGAAUU